UCGGACUGCAGUCUGCAACUCGACUGCACGAAGUCGGAAUUGCUAGUAAUCGCGGAUCAGCAUGCCGCGGUGAAUACGUUCCCGGGCCUUGUACACACCGCCCGUCACACCAUGGGAGUCGGGAAUGCCCGAAGUCAGUGACCCAACCUAUUGGAGGGAGCUGCCGAAGGCAGGUCUGAUAACUGGGGUGAAGUCGUAACAAGGUAAC
rnacentral:rRNA from 1 species